CCGUUUUCACUUGUGCUUUCCUGUCCACUGUUCAUGUAACGAGGUCAAAUUCGUGCUUGUGAUAUUAACAGAUUAUCAAAAUGUUAAACUACCACAUGGUUAAGUCUAACGUGUCCUAAAAAUAUAUUGUGUAUACAUAAAAAAAUGCAAAAAGUACUUUUGAAACAAACUUUAAACUCUUAGCACACUUAAUCCAGAUUUUUUUCCCCCAGUCCUGCCUGUGAAAUUCACAAGGAAGUUCAAAGUAUGUGGCCCAACCUCAAAGAUUACAGGAAGCUCACUAUAAACACUCUGUGAAUGUUUAACCGUAAACAUGCCCUUACCCUCUCCAGCAGUUAACCCAUUUCAUAUUACUCAUUCUGAUAACUUCAAAUGUCCCGUGACGGUGAUCUCAGCACAGGAGGGUGCUGUAAAGAUCGCUAACCUAUCUACAGUGUGGCAUGCCAUUCCCCAGGGCAUGAGUGGUAAACAGGGGUAGCGGUUAGCACUGCUAGCAAGCGUCACACCAAUGAGAGACCAGAGCCAGUCCAUACCCUGAAAGUUCUUUAAUACAAAGACUACAAUGUGACAGGAAAACACUUUGUUGUUAAUUAUAGCUGCCAAGGUUUGCACUGGAAUAAAAAAUAAAAAUGUAUAAAAAGCAGGCCACAGAACUCAGCAGACCUGCACAUUCCAUAAAGACAGAUCGGUGGUGACAGUGUCCAGGGGUUUUAUCAGAGGUUCUGGGGGCAGGAUUAUUGCAGGACGAGGUCCAGGCCUGGGCCUCAAUCACAUGACCACAGCUGUCAAUCACAGCUGUGCCCCUUGCAGGGACUUGGGCCAGCAGCUCCCAGAGGUGGGAGGAGCCAGCCAGAGACCCCUGCAGCAUCGCCUCUGAAAUGGAGGACACGAAGAAAUGGAGAAUUAUGGGACUUCUGGAAUCUGACACCUAGCUUCCCCUCUUCAGACCAUUCUGCCCACCACUGGGGGGGGGGGGGGUUG